UUGAAAUCUGGCACUUUCAGUGUCCGAGUUGUAAUUUGAAGAAGGUAACUUUGGAGUUGGCCCUUGUCUAUGUUCCUUGGAACAGGACGUCACAGAGGGUGAGAAUCCCGUGCGAUGAGGUGUCCAAUUCUAUGUAAAGUGCUUUCGAAGAGUCGAGUUGUUUGGGAAUGCAGCUCUAAGUGGGUGGUAAAUUCCAUCUAAAGCUAAAUAUUGGCGAGAGACCGAUAGCGAACAAGUACAGUGAUGGAAAGAUGAAAAGAACUUUGAAAAGAGAGUGAAAAAGUACGUGAAAUUGUUGAAAGGGAAGGGCUUGAGAUCAGACUCGGUAUUUUGCAAGCCUAUCCUUCGUGGAGAGGUUUAUUAGCAGCUUACCGGGCCAGCAUCGGUUUGGAUGGUAGGAUAAUGGCAUUGGAAUGUGGCUCCUCGGAGUGUUAUAGCCUUUGUUGAUACUGCCUAUCUAGACCGAGGACUGCGUCUUUGACUAGGAUGCUGGCGUAAUGAUCUUAAGCCGCCCG
rnacentral:rRNA from 1 species